AGAGGCCGGGGAGCAGGCUAGGCGCUGGGUGCUGGUCGGCUGUUGGAGCGCUGGUGGGAAUGGCAGCGGGGCCGGGAGAGCGGCGGCUCUAGGCGCCGGGUGGGUCGCGGCAGCCGGCUGCGGGGUUCGCCCUUUGUCUGCACCCUUCCAAAAUGGCUGCGGCCAGGGCGGGCGGUGACAGCUGCGCGGGCGCUCCCGGGGCCCCGGCGGUCAGAGAGGAGCAGGAGUCCUGGCACGAAGGCGCUUUCGGGGCGGAGAGGUGCGCAGAGGACGCCGCGGACACGACGGGUCAGCUCCCCUGACUUACAGCGGUUAGUACGAGGGCCGUGCACACCCCGGACGAAGCUGGACAUCCGGAAGCUGAUUUGUUCUUUAUUUACUUUUCUCGUGGGGGAGGGGGGGGUUGGUUGUAAAUCCUCUAAACUGAUGCUUGCUGGCACUUUGUAGGAACAUUUUCGUUACCAUUUCUCCCCUUUCUUUCUGGGUGUUUUCUUAACCAAAAGGCCGUCUUAUUGGA
rnacentral:lncRNA from 1 species